rnacentral:rRNA from 1 species
AGUGAACGCUGGCGGUAGGCCUAACACAUGCAAGUCGAACGGCAGCACAGUAAGAGCUUGCUCUUACGGGUGGCGAGUGGCGGACGGGUGAGGAAUACAUCGUAAUCUACUUUUUCGUGGGGGAUAACGUAGGGAAACUUACGCUCAUACCGCAUACGCCCUUCCGGUGAAAGCAGUGGAUCUUCUGACCUUGCGCGAUUGAAUGAGCCGAUGUCGGAUUAGCUAGUUGGCGGGGUAAAGGCCCACCAAGGCGGCGAUCCGUAGCUGGACUGAGAGGAUGGUCAGCCACACGGGAACUGAGGCACGGUCCAGAGUCCUACGGGAGGCAGCAGUGGGGAAUGUUGGACAAUGGGCGGAAGCCUGAUCCAGCCAUACCGAGUGGGUGAAGAAGGCCUUCGGGUUGGAAAGCCCUUUUGUUGGGAAAGAAAAGCAGCAGGUUAAGACCCCGCUGUUCUGACGGUACCCAAAGAAUAAGCACCGGCUAACUUCGUG